UUCGACCCAAGCCGGUAGUAAAGCUGCAGGAAAGAUUAUUCACAUUGCUACUUCAAGAGGGGUCUGAAGGAAAAGUAAAAAACCUUGAGAGAUGGGUUAAGCUUCCCAGCAAGUGCCUGCAACAAAGUGGUCUUUCCACAGCCUGGAGGGCCAAGCAGUAGAGUCAUCCUGCAUAAAAAAUGACAUGAACGUGUAAAGUCAACAUCCCGGGUGAACCUUGAGGGCUUAAUGAUGCCGCUGACAUCUUUGAGAAUUUUUAUCUUGUGUGAUUGGGACUUGCAUCUGCUAACUUUUGUCAAAGCCUGUUCAACAUCAUAGGUCUCCUUCAUUAUCGGACAACAUCAAGCUAUCACAAGUAUUUGAAAAAUAUAUAAAUAUAUAUCUCCAGAUUGUAGUGAACAAGAGGGGUUUCAUGAAGGUCAAACCAAUGUAUAACUAUUUUAAAUAUUAUUAAGGUGAAGUGUUUUAGUCAGAAGAAGAUGAUUCCAAUUAUUUAAUUUUCUGAAACAAAGACAUUCGUUGUAUUUUAUUAGUAUAGCAGGAAACCACUGUAUAUUAUUGUUUGCUUUAGUAUGU